rnacentral:rRNA from 1 species
UACAGAGACCUCAAGCGUUAUCCGGAAUCAUUGGGCGUAAAGCGUACCGAUAGGUGGCUUUGCAAGUCAGAAGUGAAAUCUCAAGGCUCAACUUUGAGACUGUCUUUUGAAACUGCAAAGCUUGAGGGGCAAAGAGGAAGCUGGAACCAGCGGUGUAGUAGUGAAAUGCGUUGAUAUCGCUGGGAACACCAAUAGCGUAGGCAGGCUUCUGGGUGCCACCUGACACUGCUAGGACGAAAGCGUGGGGAGCGAACAGG